rnacentral:rRNA from 1 species
AUACGGAGGGUGCAAGCGUUAUCCGGAAUCAUGGGGUUUAAAGGGUUCGUAGGCGGGUCAAUAAGUCAGAGGUGAAAUCUUGCAGCUUAACUGUAAAAUUGCCUUUGAAACUGUUGACCUUGAAUUACUGUGAAGUGGUUAGAAUAUGUAGUGUAGCGGUGAAAUGCUUAGAGAUUACAUAGAAUACCGAUUGCGAAGGCAGAUCACUAACAGUAUAUUGACGCUGAUGAACGAAAGCGUGGGUAGCGAACGGGAUUAGAUACCCCGGUAGUCC